UACGGAAGGCAGCAGUGGGGAAUAUUGCACAAUGGGCGAAAGCCUGAUGCAGCUAUGCCGCGUGUAUGAAGAAGGCCUUAGGGUUGUAAAGUACUUUCAUCGGGGAGGAAAAAACAAAACUAAUAAUUUUAUUUCUUGACGUUACCCGAAAAAGAAGCACCGGCUAACUCCGUGCCAGCAGCCGCGGUAAUACGGAGGGUGCUAGCGUUAAUCAGAAUUACUGGGCGUAAAGAGCACGUAGGUGGUUUUUUUAAGUCAGAUGUGGAAUCCCUGGGCUUAACCUAGGAACUGCAUUUUGAAACUGAAAUACUAGAGUAUCGUAGAGGGAGGUAGAAUUCUAGGUGUAGCGGUGAAAUGCGUAGAUAUCUGGAGGAAUACCUGUGGCGAAAGCGGCCUCCUAAACGAAUACUGACACUGAGGUGCGAAAGCGUGGGGAGCAAACAGGGAUUAGAUACC
rnacentral:rRNA from 1 species